GUCCUAGUAGCUUACAACAAAGCAUGACACUGAAGAUGUCAAGACGGCUGUACCCCACACACCCAAGGACA
rnacentral:tRNA from 1 species